AUGUGUCUGUGGUUCCUCAGUGAGGGGGACAUUGUGGACCCCUGCAUAAAGGGAAUGGUCAACUGGCUCUGCCUGCCAGACCUACUCAAGUGUUUCUUGGCCUGGAUCCUGAAGUACACAGAACCCAGAGCUAGCCAGACUUGUGAAGAGAUUCGUGGAGUGGGGUGAAUGCUAGUCUCCUCGGGUCAAGCUCACAAGCAUCUUCCAUGGGGUAGGGGAGUUGAGUGAGGGUCAUGUGGCUAGAGUUGGCAUCCACUGAGGGUGAGGGCUAUUUAGACUUUGGGAUCUAAUUAGGUUUUUGGGUCAUGUCUGACACUAAAUUUAGACUUUUGAGUGGGGUUGGGAUUGGGGCUACUUUGGGCCUGAGGUUUGAUUUGGAGUUAAGCUCUGAGUUCUGGCUAGAAUUAGCUUAGGGUAAAAGUUGGGCCUAAUCUGAGGUUGGGUUUAGGCUGGGGUUGGGGUUAAGGUUGGAAAUGGUCAGCCUGAGGGCUGACUGGGGGGCCUCACAGGUUAGGGGAAGAACCCGUGGUUCUGGGGGGAGGCUGUGAGUCUCUGUGGCUGGUGACGGUGGCGGGGGGAGGGCAUCAACCAGAGGGUGUGUACUCUUGGGAACGUUGGGUAGGCAAGGUAUUUUGGACAGCAAAUAAGACAAGGGUCAUCCCAGCCCAUCAGCUGAUUUGUAGCCUGCACUGAGACUAG
rnacentral:lncRNA from 1 species